GAAUCGAGUGCGGAAUGAAAAGGCGGUCGACAUCGUUGGCCGGCAGCGAUUCGACGCCACCUACUAAAAAUUGACUUUAUCUUUGAACUAAAUGAAAAUUUUGAAAUAGUUUUCCUUUUUAUAAAUUUACCGGUAGACGAUAGUUUAUCGGAAAAAAAGUUUGCUGUUUUCUUCCUCGAAAGAAAGCCAACGAAAUUGAAUGUAGGAGCGCUAGUGUCGACGGUAACAUGGCGACGGAAAGUAGGUACAGUAAUUAUUUGGAGUUCCGCGACCAGCACCUACAACCGUAAAAGAAAUUCGGCGUAAACCCGUCGGUUUGGUUUUACUAUUGAAAUAACCUGUAAUCGUCUCAUUAAAAAAACGAUGCCUGGGUUGUCGAGAGUAUUGCCAACUCUUGUAUGGACGUCGUUUGGUUUUAGGUGGUUAGAAACACUUUGUUAAAUCCGUUUCCAUCUUUCGUAUUUUAAUAUUAAGUAUAAAGAUGACUGAACAAUUAUAUCAUCGAGGAACUUUAAGAGGACAUAAUGGAUGGGUUACUCAAAUUGCUACAAAUCCAAAAUUUCCCGAUACAAUUUUGUCUGCUUCGAGAG